AGUGAAGCUGUGACAUUUGAACUGCUGUGUCAUGCACUUUAUUUCUUGUUUCUGGUGGAACGUUCGUGUUAAAGGUAAGUCUUCAAGAAUUUAUUAUAUAACCGAAUAUUUAUGCUAAUCGAAACAAUUUUAUCGGUUAGCGAUAAGGCAGCCACCCCUUUAAGAAAAUUAACCAUGCCUACUGGUGACGUCAAGGCAAAUAGGAAGAGGACAGUAUGACGACGGACAGGCUGUUGUUUGGCACUGUCUCGCCAAUGACAGGUCAAUGUUGAUCGCGGUGGAAUGGCAGCAUCGGGCAGUCGGCGGUUUUGCCGUGAUUUUGAGGCAAACAAAUCUGUCCCAAACGGCGAGGGAGUGCGCAAUGUGCGGGAUGCACGCGUGCAGACGGAUGCCAAAAUACAAGGUCAGGAACCUAGGCUGUCCAAAGCAAACCUCUUCACAUUAUUGAGUUUAUGGAUGGAACUUUUUCCCAAGGAAGAACAACAACAAAAUGAUUCUGUCGGAGCCUGUGGUCUUGUUGUGGUAAGAGAUCACAGAGUUCUGGGUCUUCAUUGCUCCAGUGCACAGUUACACGCAGGACAGGUGGCUGUGGUCAAACAUGGCUCCAGACUGAAGGGCUGUGAUCUCUACUUCUCCAGAAAACCCUGUUCAACCUGCCUCAAGAUGCUCAUCAAUGCUGGUGUGAACAGGAUAUCCUAUUGGCCGGGUGAUGCUGAGAUCAGCUUACUAUCAGGUAGACCGGAUAAUACAGACUCCAGUCACCAGGAAGCCAUCUUGGAUGCCACAGCUGCAGAGAGACUAAAGUCCUGCAGCAGACCGCACAUCUGUGUUCUCCUGCAGCCUCUGGACAGUACCAUGCUGCAGUACGCGUAUGAAACAUCUCAAAACUGUGAAUUCCUCAGGACGAUUGCAGCGGACAAUCCGGCUCUAGAUGUCGCAGAUGUCUUUAGGAGGGAAUGGUGGAACCACUGGGGCGAUUUGUCGGAAAAGUUCUUUGUAAAUGAUGAGGACCAGCAUAAGUCUGUGCUGAAGAAGAUGGGACUGGAGAACUUUUGUCUGGAACCAAAUUUCAGUAACCUGAGGCAGCAUAUGAAGGAUUUGAUCAGAAUUCUUGCUUCUGUGACUGCUUGUGUCCCGGUUCUACAAGGAAAAUAUGGGUUCUUCACGAGAGAGCCAUUGGCUACUGGUUCUCCAGCUCUGCCUCAGGAAGUUGUACGACAUUGUAUCAUACAAGCCCGAUUACUGGCCUGUAGAACAGAGGAUUCUAAAGUGGGAGUUGGUGCAGUUAUUUGGGCCGAGGGGAAAACGUCGCAGUGUGAUGGCACGGGUCGCCUUUACUUAGUGGCCUGUGGCUACAACGCCUAUCCAGUGGGCUCAGAGUAUGCCGAGUACCCUCUGUUGGAUAACAAGGAAGAGGAGAAACAGAACAGAAAGUGCAAAUACGUCCUCCAUGCAGAGCAGAACGCGCUCACAUUCAGGAGCACAGAGAUAAAAGAAGAGGAGAACACAAUGAUGUUUGUGACCAAAUGCCCGUGCGAUGAGUGCGCUCCUCUGAUUGGCUGUUCUGGAAUCAAACAGGUCUACACGUCAGACCUGGACAGCGGCAAAGUCAAACGCGACAUCUCCUACCUCAAAUUCAGCCAGCUCCACAGUGUCCAGAAGUUCUUUUGGCAGCAGAAAUCUCCCGAUACAUGCACUUAUGAGCAAACUGCACCACCAACAGCAAAUGGCUGCUUGAAACAAAGAAGAGAAGAAGAAACCAAAUUUCAGUGCAAUAAGCGACUGCGUUCAUAGAAGACAUCAAGAAAGCUGCUGCUUUCCUGCCUGCUUGGCAUCAAAUGUGAUGAAUACAUUAGGAUUUGAAAGGGACAGUUCAUGUUUAACCUGUUUGCAUCAUGCAGAAUUUGUUCUUUAUUUAGAGUGUACAGAAUUUCACUGCACAUGCAAUGCACAAGGUGCUCUGAGCGGUUCCAAGUGCUCAACUGCAUAUUGAUUUUUACAUCAGAAACAUAUUUUGAAAAAGUGUCAAAUACUAACAAUGCUUCAGUUCAUCUUUAUUGAGGAUAUGGUACUAUUAGCAUUUCAGAGGCAAACUGCAAUUGAAAAUUCAAUGUUGAAAUUAAAAUAUUAUGAACA